UACGUAGGGUGCAAGCGUUGUCCGGAAUUAUUGGGCGUAAAGAGCUCGUAGGCGGUUUGUUGCGUCGGCUGUGAAAUCCCGAGGCUCAACCUCGGGUCUGCAGUCGAUACGAGCAAACUAGAGUGUUGCAGGGGAGACUGGAAUUCCUGGUGUAGCGGUGAAAUGCGCAGAUAUCAGGAGGAACACCGGUGGCGAAGGCGGGUCUCUGAGCAACAACUGACGCUGGAGGAGCGAAAGCGUGGGGAGCGAACAGG
rnacentral:rRNA from 1 species